rnacentral:RNase_P_RNA from 1 species
AGUGGACUGAGCAGUCGCGUGCGGGGUUUUGCCCGUAUGAGGAAAGUCCGAGCUUCGCAGGGCGGGAUAACGGCUAACGGCCGCCGGGGGCGACCCCAGGGAAAGUGCAACAGAGAGAUACCGCCGCGGUUUCCGCGGUAAGGGUGGAAAGGCGAGGUAAGAGCUCACCGGCGCAUGGGAGACCAUGCGGCCAUGUAAACCCUAUCCGAAGCAACGCCGACAGAAGCGAUACAUUGGCCCGAUGUGCUUCGACAGGCGGCUGGAGUUGCGUGGCAACACGCAAUCGAGAUAGAUGACUGUUCACGACAGAACUCGGCUUACAGGUCUGGUC